UCAAAGGUUUUAUUGUCUUAAAGAUUUAACAAAAACCACUUAACAGAUCAAUUAAAAAAUUAG
rfam:Glycine soja cultivar W05 scaffold888_26, whole genome shotgun sequence.